AUUGAACGCUGGCGGCAUGCCUUACACAUGCAAGUCGAACGGCAGCACGGGUGCUUGCACCUGGUGGCGAGUGGCGAACGGGUGAGUAAUACAUCGGAACAUGUCCUGUAGUGGGGGAUAGCCCGGCGAAAGCCGGAUUAAUACCGCAUACGAUCCACGGAUGAAAGCGGGGGACCUUCGGGCCUCGCGCUAUAGGGUUGGCCGAUGGCUGAUUAGCUAGUUGGUGGGGUAAAGGCCUACCAAGGCGACGAUCAGUAGCUGGUCUGAGAGGACGACCAGCCACACUGGGACUGAGACACGGCCCAGACUCCUACGGGAGGCAGCAGUGGGGAAUUUUGGACAAUGGGCGAAAGCCUGAUCCAGCAAUGCCGCGUGUGUGAAGAAGGCCUUCGGGUUGUAAAGCACUUUUGUCCGGAAAGAAAUCCUUGGCUCUAAUACAGUCGGGGGAUGACGGUACCGGAAGAAUAAGCACCGUCUAACUACGUG
rnacentral:rRNA from 1 species